CCAGGGAUGUGCUCGCGGCCUAUCAGCUUGUUGGUGGGGUAAUGGCCUACCAAGGCUUCGACGGGUAGCCGGCCUGAGAGGGUGACCGGCCACACUGGGACUGAGACACGGCCCAGACUCCUACGGGAGGCAGCAGUGGGGAAUAUUGGACAAUGGGCGGAAGCCUGAUCCAGCAACGCCGCGUGAGGGAUGACGGCCUUCGGUUGUAACCUCUUUCAGUACCGACGAAGCGCCGAUGAUGGUGGUGACGGUAGGUACAGAAGAAGCACCGGCCAACUACGUG
rnacentral:rRNA from 1 species